CCAGAGUUCUGGGAUUACAGGUGUGAGCCAUCUUGCUCAUUCUAGUUUAAACUUUUGAGUGGUUUGUGUCUCCUGAUUGGACUCCUACAAAUACAGAAUUGAUGCUAGGAAGGGUACCAGGAGAUAGACGCACACAGAUGGGAUUUGGGAAUAGGUUUGGUUAUCCAAGGAGCAGUGCUGAGCUCCUUGCAAUGGGAUAUGGGAUGCUGGUGAUUUCCAGGAAGUGCGCUCACAAUGACUCAAGCUGCCACAUACUGUUGAUUGUGAAAUGCCAGUUGAAGCAUAUGUCCUGCAAGCUUAGGGGUGCUACAAGUUGACCACUGCAGCAGUAAAGAUGACUCUGAAGAAUGGCGUGGGAUGGUUCCUUUCAAAUGCACUUGAGCAGCGGUCUCCAACCACAGGGCCACAGAGCUGGAGCUGGAUCUACCAUGAAAGACUUGUGAAUCCAGGAAGAGAGACUGACUGGGCAACAUGUUAUUCAGGUACAAAAAGAUUUGGACUGUAACUUAAAAAUGAUCAAAUUAUGUUUCCCAUGCAUCAGGUGCAAUGGGAAGCUCUUCU
rnacentral:lncRNA from 10 species